GGGUUGUGAGGUUAAGCGACUAAGCGUACACGGUGGAUGCCCUGGCAGUCAGAGGCGAUGAAGGACGUGCUAAUCUGCGAUAAGCGCCGGUAAGGUGAUAUGAACCGUUAUAACCGGCGAUUUCCGAAUGGGGAAACCCAGUGUGAUUCGUCACACUAUCAUUAACUGAAUCCAUAGGUUAAUGAGGCGAACCGGGGGAACUGAAACAUCUAAGUACCCCGAGGAAAAGAAAUCAACCGAGAUUCCCCCAGUAGCGGCGAGCGAACGGGGAGGAGCCCAGAGCCUGAAUCAGCAUGUGUGUUAGUGGAAGCGUCUGGAAAGGCGCGCGAUACAGGGUGACAGCCCCGUACACAAAAGCGCAUGUGUUGUGAGCUCGAUGAGUAGGGCGGGACACGUGGUAUCCUGUCUGAAUAUGGGGGGACCAUCCUCCAAGGCUAAAUACUCCUGACUGACCGAUAGUGAACCAGUACCGUGAGGGAAAGGCGAAAAGAACCCCGGCGAGGGGAGUGAAAAAGAACCUGAAACCGUGUACGUACAAGCAGUGGGAGCACAGGUUUACCUGUGUGACUGCGUACCUUUUGUAUAAUGGGUCAGCGACUUAUAUUCUGUAGCAAGGUUAACCGUAUAGGGGAGCCG
rnacentral:rRNA from 2 species